AUUGAACGCUGGCGGAAUGCUUUACACAUGCAAGUCGAGCGGCAGCACGGGGGCAACCCUGGUGGCGAGCGGCGAACGGGUGAGUAAUACAUCGGAACAUGCCCAGUCGUGGGGGAUAACACUUCGAAAGAAGUGCUAAUACCGCAUACGUCCUGAGGGAGAAAGCGGGGGAUCGCAAGACCUCGCGCGAUUGGAGUGGCCGAUGUCAGAUUAGCUAGUUGGUGGGGUAAAGGCCUACCAAGGCAACGAUCUGUAGCUGGUCUGAGAGGAUGAUCAGCCACACUGGGACUGAGACACGGCCCAGACUCCUACGGGAGGCAGCAGUGGGGAAUUUUGGACAAUGGGGGCAACCCUGAUCCAGCCAUUCCGCGUGAGUGAAGAAGGCCUUCGGGUUGUAAAGCUCUUUCGGCAGGAACGAAACGGUGAGCUCUAACAUAGCUUGCUAAUGACGGUACCUGAAGAAGAAGCACCGGCUAACUACGUGCCAGCCGCCGCAGUAACAC
rnacentral:rRNA from 1 species